rnacentral:rRNA from 1 species
GACAGAGGCCUCAAGCGUUAGGCGGAAUCACUGGGCUUAAAGCGUGUGUAGGCGGAUCGUUAAGUGUCUUGUGAAAUCCCACGGCUCACCCGUGGAACUGCUGGGCAUACUGGCGAUCUUGGGCCAACUAGGGGCAACUGGAACAAGCGGUGGAGCGGUGAAAUGCGUAGAUAUCGCUGGAACGCCAAAGGUGAAAACAGGGUUGC